GAAUGUUGGCAUGAGUAGCGAGAUGUGGGUGAGAAUCCCACAGGCCGUAAACCCAAGGUUUCCAGGGGAAGGUUCGUCCGCCCUGGGUUAGUCGGGACCUAAGCUGAGGCCGAAAGGCAUAGGUGAUGGACAACAGGUUGAUAUUCCUGUACUACCGAUAACCGUUUGAGAGAUGGGAUGACACAGUAGGAUAAGCUAAGCACACUGUUGGUUAUGUGUGCCCAAGCAUUGAGGCAGGCAAAGUAGGCAAAUCCGCUUUGAUAAUGCUGGGAUGUGAUGGGGAGCGAAAUUUAGUAGCGAAGUAGCUGAUUUCACACUGUCAAGAAAAGUCUCUAUCGAGGUUAAAG
rnacentral:rRNA from 1 species